CCUACGGGAGGCAGCAGUGGGGGAUAUUGCACAAUGGGGGAAACCCUGAUGCAGCGACGCCGCGUGUGGGAAGACGGUCUUCUGGAUUGUAAACCACUGUCCCCAGGGACGAAAAUGACGGUACCUGGGGAGGAAGCUCCGGCUAACUACGUGCCAGCAGCCGCGGUAAUACGUAGGGAGCAAGGGUUGUCCGGAAUUACGGGGUGUAAGGGGAGCGUAGGCGGGGAUGCAAGUUGGGUGUCAAAACUACGGGCUAAACCGAUAGUCGCACUCAAAACUGCAGCGCUUGAGUGAAGUAGAGGCAGGCGGAAUUCGUGGUGUAGCGGUGAAAUGCGUAGAUAUUAGGAGGAACACCAGUGGCGAAGGCGGCCUGCUGGGCUUUUACUGACGCUGAGGCUCGAAAGUGUGGGGAGCAAACAGGAUUAGAUACCCCAGUAGUC
rnacentral:rRNA from 1 species